ACGCUCGACACCUACAGGAGGCAGCAGUGGGGAAUAUUGCACAAUGGGGGAAACCCUGAUGCAGCGACGCCGCGUGGAGGAAGAAGGUCUUCGGAUUGUAAACUCCUGUUGUUGGGGAAAAAGAGGAUGGUACCCAACAAGGAAGUGACGGCUAACUACGUGCCGGCAGCCGCGGUAAUCUGAGCGGGCUGGCAAGGC
rnacentral:rRNA from 1 species